UGAUUUACCUGGCAGGGGAGAUGCCAUAAUCAUGAUGGUGGUUUCCCCAGGGUGUGCUCAUCUAUUGUGCUCCAGAUGUGCUGACUCCCAUAUGUUUCCCAAACGUGGGAAACUUUACUGUAUAAUUUAUGGUAGUAGGGGAUUGUGUUCAGAAAAAUUUAAAAAACUCUGC
ensembl:snRNA U1 U1 spliceosomal RNA